rnacentral:sRNA from 2 species
CCGGGGGCAGGGAGGUUCGACUCGAGCGAAGCGAGAGAACGUUGCGCCAGCAACGGCCCGCAGGGCGAGCCACGAAGUGGCGAGUAAUCCUCUAUCACCGACCA